CUCUCCCGCCGCGCGAUACGCGCACGCGCACUCGCCCCCGCCCCGCCGCCGGGGCUGUUGACGCGAAGCCCUUCGGCUUUGCGGGCUCGAGUCCGCGCUCCGGUCUGCUCCGACGAGGUCUGGAUCCCGCUCCCCCGCAAUGGCACGCGCCGGACUUGCGGGUCACGUCCCGCCACCCUCCAGUCCCCACCCCCACGGUGUAUUCGCCAGCCGCCACAGGAGGCUGAGCGUGUGUUCCUACGUUUACCCGGGACCUCCUUGUCCCCGCCCUCUCCGCGGUUCUCUCGUGCCUCUCACACCACCCAGGGCCCCGUGCCCUCCCUGCAACGGUCCUCUUCCGCUCUCACUCCCACCGUCACGCUUCAGGAGCGCCGCCUGGCGCUGCUCUCCCCCGACCUGGGCGUCUCCGCCCACACGAGCCCCUCCUGCCGCGUCCUCGCCCGAACCUGUGCCUGCGCCCCCUAAUUGCCGCCUCGGCCCCUCCCCCCCUCAACGCGAGCGCACUUGCGUAGGGGCGUCGCUACGCUUCCCGACAGUCUGGGAGCCCCGGGCGCCUCUCUGAGUGUUGGGCGAGGGGGCGGGCCUGUCUGCGGCGAGGUCCCGCUCGCCCUCUUGGGCGCCGCUUCGGUCCACCUGCCCCACAAGCUUUUGUUUCCGGUGCGGUUGUGGGCUCCCCUCGCGCUUUCUCGCCUUGUUCUUUAGUGUGUUUCUCCUCUGAACAGGGUUCCUCCAGCACCUUCCGUCGUGGUGGUAAACAUCUUUAGGUGUGGUUGACGCCAAGCCCCCAGGUUCAGUCAGGCAGGGUUGUAAACGUUGGCUGACACACUCAAGACGUCCCUUCCCAGGAUCCUCAAUUGAGCCUGGUCACAUGUCAAUUCUCCAGAGACACCUUCCUGGCCCUUCUUCCCAGACUAGUGGAUGGGUAAACAGAAGCUGGUGAUACUGGAUGCUGGUGGAUGUGGUGGUGAUUCGAGUCUAGAGGCAACAAGAAUUCAUCGCUUCCACUUCAAUGCCUGCUGAGCUAGGUGAGCCAUGCAGACAAGGGAGGUAGGCAAGUUGAGGGGACUGUUCAUCACCCGUGACUAUGACUAGACAGAUUUGGCAAGGAAACAGGCCUCUUCAACUCAGCCAGUCAACAGUGGAACAGGGAGGAGACGACACUGCCUGGCCUGCUGCACUGGACCAAAGAUGCUUCAGCCUCAAAAUGGAAACCUGUUUAAGCCCAAGCAAGCAUCCUUAUGAAAGAAAAUGAACCUAAGAAGUUAAAAUUAUAUUAGUAAUUUUUCUUAAAAAGUACUCAUCCUGCCUGAUUCCAAAAAAAAAUUCGUAAGCUUAAUAAACGCCAAGCUUAAGUAUUCCUACAGUCCUGGUAGACACGUAUGUAUAUGUAUAAACACAUAUCUACCUACAUAUACUUACAUAUAUAAUAUUAUUUAUAGUAAUUGAUGUGUUUCAUAUAGUUUGUGUUCUGCCUUUUCUACUCAGCAUUCUUUUUUUACCCAGCAAAUGUCCUGUUCUGACAAAGUAUUUUGAGAGAAACAAACAUGCCUGGUCAUGUAUGGAGAACUACGAUGAUUUACACUGAUGUUAACUCCAUGGAGGAGCUGGCAUUUCAGUGGAACCUUGAAGCAUGGGUAGCAUUUCAAAAGGCUGGAAAGGGGUGGGAGAGAAAGGGUAUUUUAAGUUGAGGGAGUAACAAGAAAAAACAGGAAAAUAAAUAGGGAAUAAGUAGCCCAGACUGGCUAGAGUAUAAAACACAAAGUUCUUGGGGUGGGGUGGGGUGGGGUGGUGUGGGGUGGGGAGGAUGAAUCAUGAGGAAGCAAAGCUGGAGAGUAGGUUAAGUUAGAUCGAGGGCUUUAACUGAGGAGUGUGGAUUUUAUCAUGUGGACAAUGAAGAGUUAUUAAAGAUUUUUGGUCUCAGUUUUAAAGACAGGUUUGUGUUUUGAGAAAAAAAAUAACAGAGGGAAGGACUGGUUAGACAGGCAAGAGACUGAAGGCAAGAAGGCAACCAGUUAAGAGGCCAUGUAAUGGUCCACGUGACAGGUUAGCAAGGUUUGCGGUAAAGCAGUGCCUGUAAGAAUGAAAGGGGAGGGAUGAAUUCAAGGGACGUGGUAGAGACAGAACUAGCAGGAAUUGAGGACUCAGGGCAAGUGUGUGGUGGCUAAAGUGGGGGUGGGGUAGUAGCCAGAAGGUGUCUUUAAGGUUUCCAGCCUUAGGAACUAAGAGAAUGGUAAUAAUACAGUGUGAUAAGAACAGAGUAGAUUUCGGGGAGUCAAAAUGGACUUUUUAAUAUGGUAAGUCACUGGGGCAUUUGUGUAUUCUUAAAUUUUUUUUAAGUGGGAAGCUAGUAAUGAUUUAUCAUUAUCUGCCACACAAAUGUGAAUGUUCGUUUUAUUAAAAUCUAGAUGGACACAUUUCCUGAUGUUCAGUCAUAAAAAAAGCCUUACAAAUGUUCUAACCUUUUAACCCGGCAACUUCACCUCUAGAAAUUAUUCUCAAAGAAAUAACUGGGGAUGCACACAAAGAUGGAUAUGUAAGUUCUUUGUAAAACAGCUCCCUAAUAUUUAACUUUCUACAUAUUUGCCAGCAGAAGACAAUUUAAACUAAUUUUGUAAUUUUUGUAAAGGAAAAAUCAUGCCAUAUGAUAUCAUUUUUAUAAAGCUCAACAUGCAGCAAAGUUCAGUGAUACACUGUGUGCAGAUGUACACUUACGUGAAAACACUUAAAAAAGGAAGAGGAAGAAGAAGAGGAAGGGGAAGCAGCAGCUAAUGACAAUACACAAGACACAAGCUUGAGGACAGUGGUUACCCAUGGGAGGGAAAGGGCAGCAGCAGAGGAACACAGGUGCAUCAAGGGCGUUGUAACGGUCUAGUGCUCAAACUGAGUAGUGGGUUCAUGAGUGUUUGAUAUAUUAUUGGGCUUCGUAAUUAUAUAUGUAUUGUAUACUGAAAUGUUAAGUUCAUGUUUUCAAAAAAAUUUACUCAGCAAAAACGCAUGCUAGCUACAUAUAGUAAAGUGGAAAAACAUUCGCCACAGAAUACACUGUUAGGUGUCCAAUUUAGUAAAAAUUAAUAUUUGUGCAUAUUUGUAUGUGUGUGUGUUAGGCCAGGAAUAUGAAUAUUGAUGUUUAUGAUUUUUUCUUUAUCCUUCCAAAGUUUUCCAAAUUUCCUACAAGACAAUUUUUAAUCAUCAGGGAAAAAUAAAGUCAAAAACCUCCUGGAUAUCCAAGAAGGUCUUGAAAGGGGUUUAAGAUAGCAGAAAAUAUAAGUGUAACAUUUUAAAAUCACAAAUAUAAAAAGACAAAUAUGUAGCUUUAAAAAAACUACAACUGUGAUGGUUAGAAAGUUUACAAAGGCUUGUGGUAAGAAUGAAGACCUGAUGGGUUUUAAAUGGUAUGUAAGGACUUGAUCCUCAAAAUAAAACAGUAAAAGAAACCGUUCAAAAUGAUAGCAAUUCUUACACUGGUAGUGCAUCCAUUAGGUCACAGUGCACUGGUGUAUGCCUUUCCUUAUUUGAGACUCACACAGGUUUGGAGUGCUGAGUAGAUUUCUCAUCCCUUCUUUUUCACUUCUCUGCUUCCCUGUAAGAGCGUUCUGUGAUUUGCUGGCUGGUUGUAUACCACCCUGCUCCACUGAUGCUGACCUUAGCCGUGUGAUUCUCAUUGGCCAAUGCGACAGUGGUGGACAUGGCCUAUGCCAGGACUGUGCAGAUGCUGUAAGAGGCAUCCAUCAGCUCUCUUACCCUUUAUUUCAGCCAUGAUAAUAGACAUACCCCACAGAGGGGUUAUGCUUUCCAGCCUGGGUCUGGGAAUAAGAAACACGGCACACAGCAGGAGUAGACCCACAGCUGAGCCACACGUGAGCAGACGUGCAUCUUGAGUGAGCGUAAAUGUAUUAUUAUUACCGUAAACCACUGUCAUUUGGGCGUAUUUCCGAUACAGAAAAACUGACUAUAUAUACAUUUGUAUAGGAGGAAAACCAAGAAUCAGGUAAGUUAAAUAACCUUUCCAAAGUUUCAUGUCUGGAAAAUGGAAAGCACUCCCAAACCAGUGAAUUUCCACAUACCAUGUGAUGAGGGAAACAAAGGCAAGAAAAAUGUAGUUUAAAUUAAAUCUCCUACAGCUUGCAUCCCAGACAGAUACCAGAGACAUGCGGCGUGUAACAUUCCUCAAGGAGUUUAUGGCUGCCUUAAUGCCUUAGUGUUUACAUUUCAUUAAAAACUAAAAGCAACCUUAUCUUACCAUAGCUGCAUCUCCAGGGUCCUGUAAAGCCCUGCUUUCAGCAUAUAGAGAUUCCUUAGAAAACCAUGUUGUUAUCUCUAUCCCCCUCCCUCCACAAACUUAAAAGUAUGUAUUCAGUCACUCCUCACAAUCCCGGUGCAGUUUUCUGCCCAUGGGUCCAGUUCCCGUGCUAUAAAAUCACCUUUUUGCAACAAAAACGUCUCAAGAAUUCUUAGCCAUGUGCUCACGAACCCCACUUCAAAUUUCAUCACUAUAUACUGCUUUUCUUUGUGAUAAAAUGAACUACAGAAGAGUACCUAAGGCAAACCAGUAGUUAUUUUUGUUAUAUAUCAAGUGGGACCACCUGGGCUGCUGGAGUUUACUGGUCACCUGUUCCGAAGCGCUCUAAGUGUGUUAUUAAGCUCGUUUCUCCUUUCUAUUGAAGUUGAGCUUUUCACUAAUCCAGCACAUUUACCCUCUCUGAGGAAAUGAGAAAACUAAUAAUGCUGCAACAUAUAAUUUCUUUAGGCUUUCUAUUUUUUAAAAUCCCUUCACAUAAAAUCUCGUAUACUUCUGUCACUUGUGAGGCAGACACAAAGGUACUGUGGUAACCAUAACCUCCUCCCCACUACAAAUUCUUUACUGCCAAAUUAUGCAUCUCCCUUUUUCAAAGCCUGGAGAAUUACGAUGACAUCCUUGCAGAUGGCGAGUCACAGGAUACCAUAAAAUCAAAAUGUAGGAGAUUUGGUUGCAGCCACGAAGGUGACUGGCAAGACUAUAUAGAUCUCUGGGUUUUACUUCAACAGCACCUGAAUGAUUUCCUUUGCAUAUUCCCAGACUCUUUGUUUCUUUGUCUGGGUCUCCAACUCAAUGCGUAAAGCUCUUCUCUGAAAUGGCUGCUGAGAUAGAGACUGAACCACCAGCUAGGGAUGGCAAAUGCAACUUUUAUCUGUGUGUACAUUUCACUAAUUUACAACUUGUGAAAUGUCAAAGUUUCCUCCCCAAGUUUGAACUUCUUUAUGUGUGGAGAGGCAGAGUGCCAAAGGACUCUUGACACAAAAAAGCUGAGGAAGGCACCUUUGAUGUCUUUUCCUGGGCUCAGAAGUCUGUGCUCCAGCACAGCUGAGGCUCAAGGUCCCGGCUCUAGUGGCACCAUGGCUGCGGCCCUGGAGAGCAGGAGCGGUGUGUCAGGAUUCUCAUGUAUUCUGAAUCGCUCUCCAUCACAAAAACGUUACUUCUGCAAUCUACCCUACCUUUUCCUUCUAUUCUCACUGGUUCUUCCCCAAUUCUGUUAUGAAUAAUUACUAAUGGAAUGUUCUGUUUUUCACUUUUGUUCUAGUAAAUAUAAAAAUAGUUACGAGGGUUUCUAUGGGCUUUUGCAUAUACGCACAGAUACUUUGGGCUCCCUCCAUUUAAGAUGCCUCACCGCAUUUUUCUCAUUAGGCCUCUGUUUCAACUCUGAAUUCAUUUUCUCUGUGGAUUUUCGAGAUCACUCUGGGGAAGAAAUCUUGUACCUCCAUUUCACAGAUUGGGUAACAAAUUGAUGUUGUAUGAUUUUUACCAUGUCAAUUACAAAAUGAAUAGGAAACCAAAUGUCCUUUCUCUCACUUACAGAUUUUCCAUUACACUGAGCUACUUCUUUCAUUUCCUUGCUUUGUCACCCAAUUUCAAUAAGGAGCACAAGCAACUGACAACUUUCAAUUCAAGUCUGCACAUAAAAAUUAAUGUUUCUUAGCUUGGUUGUUUUGCUACAGCAUGGAUGCUACAGGAGAUUUCCUGCUUCUAAUCUGCUGUGGAUGAACAAUCUGUUUAACCAACCUUGUUAGAAUAAUCUCUGAAACAAACUAUAUGUAAGUUCCAAAGAAAGAUUUAUCAGACUCUCCUAUAAAUAAAAUACAUAGUUUUAUGUGAUUUCUAUUUUGGCUACUUAGAAACCUUUUUCUAUUUCCUUCCUUGGGGAUAGAGUAGUAGUUCCCCAAUAGUCAUAUCCAGUCUGAGGUCUUUUUACGUCUAAUAAUAGCCUCAAGGUUAACAUUCAAAUAAUGUCUAGUAUGUGUCAGGCACUACAUCAUCACAUGUAACUCUCUUAAAAACUCUAGUAAGAUGAGGAAAUUGAGACGGAGCUACUUUAAAGUAGCUCACAGGCAAAUCUUGCAAAGACACUACAUCAGUCCUUAUCAUUUCCCUGAGGAAAUGCAGUAAAGUAGAACUAAAAAUUUUAAGGGGGUAAUGGUUAAAGGAGACUUUAGUUUUAUCUGUAAUAUUUGAAUAUUCCCAAGAAUGUAUUUAUAUAUCAACUGUAUAAUGAAAAAAUGAGUUUAAAAUGGUUUUAGGGUAAACAUAUGCAACUGAAAACUUUCUCACAAAGAAAUACCCAGAUCCAGACAGCUUCAUCAGUGACUUUUCUCAGACAUUUAAGGAAUAGCAACAACUUUAUACAAAUACCAGAGAACAGGAAAAAAAAAAAAAAAAAAAAGGAAAGCAACUGCCAACUUGUUUUAUGAGGCCUGCAUAGCAUGACACUAAAACCUGACAAAGACACCUAAAAGAGACGAAAAAUUACAGAUCAGUAUUUUUUGUAAACGUAGAUAUAAAAAUUCUCAACAAAAUGCCAGCAAAUCAAAUCCAGUAAUAUAUAAAAAGGAUAAUACAUCAUGAUUAAUUUGCAUUUAAUCCAAAAUGCAAGGUUAGUUUAAUACUCAAAACUCAAUCAGUAUAAUCCACCAUAACAAAAGAGGAAAAAAAGAAAUAAAUCCUAUGAUCAUCUUCAUAAAUGAAGAAAAAAAUCAUUUGAAAAAAAUCAUUUGAAAAAAUUGACCAUCCAUGCAUAAUAAUAACUCUCAGCAAACUAGGAACAAAAGGGAAGCUCCCCAACCCAGUAAAGGAUAGUUAUAAAAGUCAAAGUUAACAUCAUACUUAAUGGUCAAAUGUAAAUUUUGAAAGCUCUCUCUCUGCUAAUAGCACUUAUAUCUAAUAUUAUAUCAGACAAGAUAAAAGAAAUAAAAGGGAUAAGGCCUAUAAAGAAAGAAAUAAGAGGGGCGCCUGGGUGGCUCAGUCGGUUAAGCGUCCAACUUAGGCUCAGGUCAUGAACUUGCGGUUUGUGAGUUCAAGCCCCGCGUCGGGCUCUGUGCUGACAGCUCAGAACCUGGAGCCUGUUUCAGAUUCUGUGGCUCCCUCUCUCUCUCUGACCCUUCCCCGUUCAUGCUCUGUCUCUCU